AACCCGUAGAUCCGAACUUGUGUUCAUCAUUGUGCUACACAGGCUCGGCUACUGGUAGA
rnacentral:pre_miRNA from 1 species